AUGGCAGCAGCACAUUUGGCCAUGAGUGGUGUCACAACUGCCAAAGGCUCAUUCAUGAUUUUGACUCUGCUGUGUCUGGUCCAUUUUUCAAGUUCAGUGAUAAACAACGAUCAACUGGAGGAACUGAAAGCAAACAUUCAAAAACUCCAACAAGAAACAAUGAGAAAGAAGGCUGAAUAUAUUUUAGACAGAGCCUACCUUCCAGCUAUUCUUGAUGGUAUUGGACGCUACAUGGAUCCUUUGUCCAAAUUUCUGAAGUCAUUGAACGUUUCUACAUUGGUACUUACACCAAUACUGGAUUUAAUGGAUGACCUAAAGACUUUCCUGGAAGACAGCAAGAAAUACAUAAUUAAAUACUUUGAGACAAUAGCUGAAGAAAUCAAGGACAAUGAAGAUAAACUAAGCAGCGUGAUGGCAAUAUUAACACAUCUAGAAAAGCAUAAAGAAGAACUGUAAGAUAUUAGUCAGUGUCAGUCUCAAGUAUUAAAUGUUCUGUAUUUCUAAAACUUUCAUACUGUGCAGGUUUUGAGUCAAGAAAUAACUUUGUCAUAUUUUCUUUUCAUUUUCUUUGUUUCAAGUGAGUUUAAAUGCAAACACAAGACACAGAACUGAGGUUGUGUCUAAGUAACCAUAUUAACACUGGCAAUUGUUAAUGAUUUAAAUGAUGAACGCCUUUUAAUGUGAAUAAAGACACGUUAUUAUUUUCAUGUUUUUUCAAAUUGUGAUGUUCGUGAGAAAAUACAGAAGCUGUGGCUGAUUGUUCUCAGAACACCCAUCACCUGAUCCUCUCAUGUAGGCCAUGUGUGUGUGUGUGUGUGUGUGUGUGUGUGUGUGUGUGUGUGUACUGUUAUUCCACACUACUGACUAGAUGUUUUAUACUGGUGUUAAAGAGAGAGUUUAGUGCUACACUAAAUCACAUUGUAGACCACAACAAAACAACAGAUCUUAUUUGACUUGUAAAUCAUCAGUGACACCCUGGAAAAGAGAAUGAGCAAAAUUCACGAACAAAUAUGUAAUAAUACAUAACGUUUUAUAUGAUCAUAAUAGUUAUUAUUGUUUUGUAGGCUGUUUUGUUGUUUUUGAUUUAGAAAUUAAUAAUUUUACUACUAUAAAAACUCAUCAUCUAAGUAGACAAACUAUGUACUAAUGUACAUACAUUAUUUACUAAAACUAAAAUGUUAUAAAACUUAAUGUUUGCAAGCUGCUGAAAAUGGGAGACCAAUAACUAAUGGGUCUCUAUUCCUAUAAAGUGGACCAGAAAAAGGUUAGUUCAGUCAAAAUGAAAGUAAAAUUGCAGCUAAUGCACGUGAGAUGAAAGAAAGUGAAAGGACAACAGAGUAUAGGGAACCUUUCAAACACACCACCUCAUUGUGUUUUCAUUCUUUACCAGCACAGCACAUCAGAUCGUCCUCCAUUCACAAACCAGGUAAGAUCAGUAACAUAAAAUAUGAUGUUUGCAAAGUGUAACAUUAAAAUUUGUUGCCGCGUGUGUGUCAGUUUCUUAUUAAUGUUACUGACAUGGUAUCUUAACCUAAUGGA
rnacentral:lncRNA from 1 species